rnacentral:rRNA from 1 species
GGGGAAUAUUGCACAAUGGGGGAAACCCUGAUGCAGCAACGCCGCGUGAGGGAAGAAGGUCUUCGGAUUGUAAACCUUUGUCCUUGGUGACGAUAAUGACGGUAGCCAAGGAGGAAGCUCCGGCUAACUACGUGCCAGCAGCCGCGGUAAUACGUAGGGAGCGAGCGUUGUCCGGAUUUACUGGGUGUAAAGGGUGCGUAGGCGGCUCUGCAAGUCAGGUGUGAAAACUAUCGGCUUAACUGAUAGACUGCAUUUGAAACUGUGGAGCUUGAGUGAAGUAGAGGCAGACGGAAUUCCCGGUGUAGCGGUGAAAUGCGUAGAGAUCGGGAGGAACACCAGUGGCGAAGGCGGUCUGCUGGGCUUUAACUGACGCUGAGGCACGAAAGCAUGGGGAGCAAAC